AUUGAACGCUGGCGGCAGGCCUAACACAUGCAAGUCGAGCGGAGCUGCGGACGGGUGAGUAAUUCCUAGGAAUCUGCCUGGUAGUUGGGGAUAACGUCCCGAAACGGGCGCUAAUACCGCAUCCUAUCAGAUGAGCCUAGUUCGGAUUAGCUAGUUGGUGAGGUAAAGGCCUACCAAGGCGACUACCCGUAACUGGUCUGAGAGGAUGAUCAGUCACACUGGAACUGAGACACGGUCCAGACUCCUACGGGAGGCAGCAGGGGGGAAUAUUGGGCAAUGGGCGAAAGCCUGAUCCAGCCAUGCCGCGUGUGUGAAGAAGGUCUUCGGAUUGUAAAGCACUGUAAGUUGGGAAGCGUUACCAACAGAAUAAGCACCGGCUAACUUCGUGCCAGCAGCCGCGGUAAUUC
rnacentral:rRNA from 1 species